rnacentral:rRNA from 1 species
UUGAACGCUGGCGGAAUGCUUAAUACAUGCAAGUCGAACGGAAACAGUAGCAAUAUUGUUUUAGUGGCGAACGGGUGAGUAACGCGUUGGUGACCUGCCCCGAAGAGAGGGAUAACAGUUCGAAAGGAUUGCUAAUACCUCAUGUGGUCAUUAGGUUUAGAAGCUUAUGACUAAACGGAUUUAUUCGCUUCGGGAGGGGCCUGCGUCCCAUCAGCUAGUUGGUAAGGUAAUGGCUUACCAAGGCGAUGACGGGUAGGGGACCUGAGAGGGUGGCCCCCCACAAUGGAACUGAAACACGGUCCAUACACCUACGGGUGGCAGCAGUAGGGAAUAUUGGUUAAUGUGGGAAACCGCGAACCAGCAACGCCGCGUGCGCGAUGAAGGCCUUCGGGUUGUAAAGCGCUUUUAGAGAGGAUGAGGAAGGACAGUACUCUCUGAAUAAGCCUCGGCUAACUACGU